CAGCCGCCGCGGUAAUACGUAGGGUGCAAGCGUUGUCCGGAAUUAUUGGGCGUAAAGAGCUCGUAGGCGGUUUGUCGCGUCUGCUGUGAAAACUGGAGGCUCAACCUCCAGCCUGCAGUGGGUACGGGCAAACUAGAGUGCGGUAGGGGAGAUUGGAAUUCCUGGUGUAGCGGUGGAAUGCGCAGAUAUCAGGAGGAACACCGAUGGCGAAGGCAGAUCUCUGGGCCGUAACUGACGCUGAGGAGCGAAAGCAUGGGGAGCGAACAGGAUUAGAUACCCCAGUAGUCCCUGUCUCUUAUAC
rnacentral:rRNA from 1 species